AAGGACAUACUCUUGCCCUAAUUCGGAGACCCGAAACCUGGAAAAGUCAAAAGUUUUUGGGAAAUUUGGUGGAAGAUGUUUGAAUUGAAAUGUGGAGAGUGGGUUCACCAGGUGUGCCAUAUCAGGGACAUCUUCUUCAACCUUGAUCAGCCAGGAACUGAUGGUGGGUUGGCAGUGAGAUUCAGGUAAUCCAAGACACAGAAUUGUGCGCCUAGAAAGAUAUAAACCCCAGGAGGUUCCAUUGGUGGGAAGGAUCGGGAAACGGGAAGGGAGUGGAUGGAGUCUGGAGGGGACACAAGCAUGCCAGGAGGAGCAGACUGAUCGGAGACAGAGGAGAUCGAAAUGGGAAUUCAGGCGCUGGGCAAUUAGGAGAAGGAGGUCUUUGGGGAGUUGAGACCAUCUUGCCAUGGAUGAGUUGAGUUGAAGCUUUCUUGAUUGAGUUUUUGCCUGAAUACUGCCUCAAGUCUACCGAUGGGGAUCAAUCCAAAGACUAUUGCUCUUGUAAAAGGAACAUUCUGUGAAUAAGUGUUUCAAGUUUGUGCAUUUGCCUCAAGUCAACAUAUUGGGUUCGAUUCAGGAAGACGUUGGCUAAGUGAAGACAAAGGAUCAUUCCACUUCCACAAGGAAGCGUUUCAGAGUUUUUCAUUUAAGACUCCACGUGGAAACAAAAUCUAUGCAUAUAUUUCAUUUUAUGUUUAGAAAUUAGAACUCGGAAAGGGGUUGCAGAAACUCUACGAUUUCGUAAAGGCUGUUCUCUCGAGACUGGCCUAGGAUAGUGUCACUUUGAAUUAGUACCAAAAUUUUAGGCUUUAAUUAAAGGGUCAAUGCAUCUCUAUCCAUGUCACCAUCUUAGCGCCAACCCAAUCUCUUGUCAGCUUAUGGUUUUUCAAAUCAAGAUGCAUUUGUGAAUCUGAUAUACUUUUGUCAUAUCUUAUGAUGGAGGUGGUGGGGGUUUAUGAUCCUCCUACAUUGGUCUAAUUUUCUACUAGGGAAUUUUUUUGAAUUUUUUUUAUGAAGGUUUCAUUAGUUUGUUUCUGCCAUCUAAAGAAUGAUUCUAAAAAAUAAAAGGCAAUUCACCUCAUUGAGCCUCAUCAACCAUUUUGAUCUUCAGACUUGUAUAUUGGGUGGAACCAUCUAAAAAAUAUUUUCUUGACGCUUGUUUAUAAAUGAGAUAAUCGAUUAAAAUGGAUGAAAUCUUCCUCACUUUGAAAAACUAACCCUUUACCUUUUUUCAAUAUAAAAAAUAACCGUUUUUGACAAAAAUGUCCUCAUAUUUUUCUUGUAAAAAUGACAAUUUCUUUUAAAAUACACAUGUAAAUAAUAAAAAUGUUGAAAGGUAUUUAUGUCAAAAAUGGAUUACUCUUCAAAUUCAAAAAUGCGAAAGGUUAGUUUACAAAUUUGGGAUAUUUUCAUCCUUUUUAAUCAAUUAAUCCUUUAUAAAAUAUAUUUAAACUUUAAACUCGCACAACAUACAUAUAAGAAAAGGCACUAAACACAAUGUGACCCAUAUAAUAACAUAUAUAAAACAAAUGGGUAUGAAUAUGGUUUAUUCCCCAUUUGUUUAUUUGUGAUCCAUAUAUGUGAAUUUUUGUAUUUUCACACAUAUUCAUGUUUGUUUGUGUUUGAAAUGGAGCAAUUUUGGGUAUAAAUGAGCACUUCAUUUCAAAACACAAAUGUGAAUUUUUGGUAAGUUCCAAAAUCAUAUAUAUUAUUUUUAUUUUUAUUUUAUAAAAUUAAGAAUAUUUAUAUAUUAUAUUUUUAUCCAAAAUGGAUUCGGGUUAGAGAUAUAAAUGCCAAAAAUGCAUAUAGAGAUGCCAUUUGGUUUAGGUGGUAAGGUCCCAAGACUACUAUUGUGAAUUUAAGUCCUAAUGUUUGAAUGCCUUUCACCUAUUCCCCCACCAAGAAAAGAGCAUAAAAACACAACAUUAAAGUAACCUUAAUGAAACAAGAAAAACACUACUCUGGGAAGCAAGGCUCUGAUGUGAGCUCUAAGUCCUAGAAAGGAUCUUUUGCAUUGAUAAACUACCAAUUGACCUAAGAGGUACCCAUUUGUCUCAUGGGCAACCUUCUUUGGGCUGAACAGAUUGAGAAAAUUAAAUAAGCUCUCCCAAUUGUUCCAGAUGCUUUUGAGAAAGUGACAUUAGCAAUCCAUUGAUCUAAAAGCUCUAACCGUUAGCCACCUGUCUCUUGGACAACCUCUUUGAAUUAAGACUUAUUCCACCCAUAAGGCAACUCUACUACUAUGUUAGGUAUUAGUUGAUCUAAAAGUUUAAGUUUUAAGUUGUUAGGUAAUGGAUUAAUAAUAUAUAUCAAGCUUAUCUGGGCCAAACCCAAGCAUGACCACCAAGACCAGGUCCCACGUAUGACACAGCAGUAGGUGACUCCACAGAGGUAUUUCAGGCUCAGCUGCCUGCAGCAUUGCUCCGUACUAUUCCAAGUUGUGUUCCCACUUCAAGUUCCUAGUAAUGAAGGCCAAAUUGCAGGGUCAAUGGUGGAUUAAAGAUUAAGGCUUCUCUCUCGGUUGGCCUGAUGGAAAGGACCUCUCUCAGUUUCUUCAAACACCAAGCCAUGAUUUUGAAGGGAUAGAGCGUAACAGACUGGAGCUGAACCUUUUGUUUGAACCAUCUUUCAUAUUACAACUCCUUACAGAAUCUCCGAAAAGAACAAGGGAAAUUUCAUUCUCAAGUUACUUUCAAUAUCCCCUGUUUUUUUCCCAGAUUUCAAUGAAACCUAAGCCUCUAUCUCAAAUAAAAACAACCAAAUGAAGCACACACAACUCCUUUAAAUGACUGACCCCUUAAAUUUCUAUGGCUACACUGGGCAUCUUUGAUCUGUCUUCAUGUGACUUGAACUCCUUGGUAUUUCAGGAUCUCUACAAUAAGCUCACCUUCACCAGAACCCACGUAUCUUCCACACAUUUCACCAUCUCUGGUAAACAAAAAUGUAGGAACUUCAAACACAUUCAAGUCCCUCAAAAACUGCAUGCAGCUAUUGUUCUCAUCGCCAUUCAUCCUUGCAAAAACAACUGCAUCUGCUAUCUGCCUUGACAGCUUCAACACAGUUGGAUGUACCACAAGGACCACAAUGUUUCAAGCCCACAUCAAGCACUACAAGCAUAUGGUCGACCUUAUGAUCUCCUAUCAACUUCUCCACGUCUUCUCUGCAGUGCCGCUGUGCCACAGUAGAAUAAUUGUUGCCAUAGUAUAAUAUAUCUCCCACAAAUUCAUCAGGGCCAAUUCCUUCCUCAUGGAUCUUUUCCAUGCUCUUAUCAAAGCUAAAAUGUGGAACUUUCUCAAUAUCUUCUCUCUUGCAAAGCUCUCUAGUCUUGUCUGAUUCAUCCCCCAUUACUAGGAGGAACUGGACAUCGUUGCAAGUUCGACUAAGCUACACCAUGAAAGGGUAGAUCUUACUACUGUGAUAGCUAUGGCACGCAGAAUACUCCACAACAACAGGCUUGUUUUUGGCCAUCCAAAGAGCUUCAUCAAACUCUUCAAUGCUGUGUACCUGCUUUACUUUUUCAUCACUUUCAACUUUCCUGCCACUGGAAGUGGCUGUAGACUUUAUGAUGAAGGGAAUGUACCUUGAUCAGAAUUUUGCUGCUGAAGUUUUCAACUUAGAACUGAUACAGAGAAUGGAGGAAUAAGGGGAGGAUGAUGGAUCUUUGUUGAGAAAGACUGAAAGUGAUGAAGGAAGUUCAAAGAAUAGGUGAGCAGUUGUUGCCAUGGAAGAGUGGGGAAUGUAUUUGUUUGGAGGCAAGGCUCCAGAACAACAGAAGUGUGAGUUGAGUGGGUGGAAUGUAGUUGAAGUUGAGAGUAUAAAGCAAUCAAGGGACAAGGGAAAAAUGGAUUUGAAUGGGCAGGAGGGGAUGAAAAAUCACAUCCACUUAUUGGGUUUGUGAUUCAUGUUAUCCACAUUACACUUUCUCCUCCCACCAAACUUCUGAUGACUUCAUGUUAUCCACACAUCAGAUUUUAUAGGCAGACCCUUGUUAUCAUUUUCUUUCCUUUUCCUUUGGGGGCACUAGCACUAUAUCUUAUUGGAUCGUGCUAUGUGUUGAUCUAACGUUAGGUUUCACUUCAAGUGAUUAAGAAAGAUAGUAAAGUGUGUGAUAAGAUAAAUACCCAAAUAUGAGUUCAGCUCACUUCCUCUAACAUAGUCCUCAAGUUCUAAGAUUUGCUCAGAAUAUUCACAGGAGAAAUACAAAGAAACAUCGUCAAAAGGUGAAUCUCAUUCAUUUUUCUACAAACAAAGCACAAAAUUUGAAUACUGAAUAUGAGAUCAAAGGUAAGUUCAAUACAUGUAAUAACAAACAAGAAUGCUGUAUAACCUCAUGGUUUGUGUUGAUACAAGCAAUUGGAUCAUAUCAUAUAGGCAUAAAAAAUCCUAGUAUCUUAAUAGCUAGCUUAGGAGUGUUUCUAGAUAAACAGGGUGUAUCAAACAGGAGCAAUAUCGAAUUUCUAUAUCAGUGUCAAACAGACACAAUGGGCAAACACUGUAAACAAAAUUCAAUGUUUUGUAUUCAAGAGAGUACAUUUCCCAGGCAAAGGAGCAUCAUAUAUCUCCGAUAUUAUCGAUAUAAACCCAAGCUGGCGGUGACCAAAUCACCUUGGAAUAAUUGGGAAAACUCGAUAAAGGCCCCAAAUUACCAUUCUCUAAGUUGAAUAUACCUAUUCCUGUAUAUGCAUCAUCUUCUUGGUCAUUUGGGAAGAAGAAGCUGUUUGUAUAAUAAAUACAGUUCCCUUCACACCCACAAAAUUCAGAAGCCACAGCUGAGAAUGUACUUUUCUCACCCAAAAACAGGAUUCGAUCACCCAAGUUUUCAACCUCAACCCACAUAUGCCCAAUUUGAUUUAGCUUGAAAACCUUAAACCGGACUGCUCUAUUCAUUAUGCCAUGAAUCCCUUGAUCAAAGUAUGUGUUGACCAUCAACAAUUCGCCAUUGGACUCAACCAAGCUCUUCUUGUUGCCACCAAUCACUGAGUCAGCGAUCAAACUUAGAACUGGAGGUGAUCCAAUGGCCACAACUACAGUCCUUCCAGUGUUAUCAACGGCAUAGAAUUCUCCAUUAAAGAAUAUCAAAUCAUCACAAGAUGGCAUAUCAUCAAUUGUUUUCAACCUUUUGUUUCCAUGCCUAAACAUGGCCAAUUUUCCAGACACAUGAAUUGUAAGCAUUACAAAAUCUUCACCAUUGCUGGUGCUAGAAAAAGCAACCUUACCCUUGUGCAAGCUCCCCUCAUCAGCCUCUCCAGAUGGACGAUGAUUCAUGUACUGAAGGACAUACUCUUGCCCUAAUUCAGAGACCCGAAACCUGGAAAAGUCAAAAGUUUUUGGGAAAUUUGGUGGAAGAUGUUUGAAUUGAAAUGUGGAGAGUGGGUUCACCAGGUGUGCCAUAUCAGGGACAUCUUCUUCAACUUUGAUCAGCCAGGAGCCGAUGGUGGGUUGGCAGUGAGAUUCAGGUAAUCCAAGACACAGAAUUGUGCGCCUAGAAAGAUAUAAACCCCAGGAGGUUCCAUUGGUGGGAAGGAUCGGGAAACGGGAAGGGAGUGGGUGGGGUCUGGAGGGGACACAAGCAUGCCAGGAGGAGCAGACUGAUCGGAGACAGAGGAGAUCGAAAUGGGUAUUCAGGCGCUGGGCAAUUAGGAGAAGGAGGUCUUUGGGGAGUUGAGACCAUCUUGCCAUGGAUGAGUUGAGUUGACGCUUUCUUGAUUGAGUUUGUGCCUGCAUACUCCCUCAAAUCUACUGAUCGGGAUUGAUUCAAAGACUAUUGCUCUUGAAAAAAGGAAUAUUCUGUG
rnacentral:lncRNA from 1 species